rnacentral:sRNA from 1 species
AGUAUUGUGUGCAAAAUCAGAGAGGGGUGCAAGAUCCUGAUUUUUCAGGGCCUGGAAGGCAAGAGCCCAGAAAUUCCCAAUUGAGAAUUGUGUUAGUGGGUAAAACCGGAGCAGGAAAAAGUGCAACAGGAAACAGCAUCCUUGGCCGGAAAGUGUUUCAUUCUGGCACUGCAGCAAAAUCCAUUACCAAGAAGUGUGAGAAACGCAGCAGCUCAUGGAAGGAAACAGAACUUGUCGUAGUUGACACACCAGGCAUUUUCGACACAGAGGUGCCCAAUGCUGAAACGUCCAAGGAGAUUAUUCGCUGCAUUCUUCUGACCUCCCCAGGGCCUCAUGCUCUGCUUCUGGUGGUUCCACUGGGCCGUUACACUGAGGAAGAGCACAAAGCCACAGAGAAGAUCCUGAAAAUGUUUGGAGAGAGGGCUAGAAGUUUCAUGAUUCUCAUAUUCACCCGGAAAGAUGACUUAGGUGACACCAAUUUGCAUGACUACUUAAGGGAAGCACCAGAAGACAUUCAAGACUUGAUGGACAUUUUCGGUGACCGCUACUGUGCGUUAAACAACAAGGCAACAGGCGCUGAGCAGGAGGCCCAGAGGGCACAGUUGCUGGGCCUGAUCCAGCGCGUGGUGAGGGAGAACAAGGAAGGCUGCUACACUAAUAGGAUGUACCAAAGGGCGGAGGAGGAGAUCCAGAAGCAAACACAAGCAAUGCAAGAACUCCACAGAGUGGAGCUGGAGAGAGAGAAAGCGCGGAUAAGAGAGGAGUAUGAAGAGAAAAUCAGAAAGCUGGAAGAUAAAGUGGAGCAGGAAAAGAGAAAGAAGCAAAUGGAGAAGAAACUAGCAGAACAGGAGGCUCACU